CACAGAGACAGGUGGUGGCGGCAGCACACUGCUUGGUGGCAGACAGCAUGUAUCCAGCAGCAGUUUUGCCCACUAGCCUCUACUUGUUGCCACUGCUGCAGCACCCUCUCCCCCCCCACACGUCCCUCCUCAGCACCACAAUACAUCACAAUACAUCACAGUACCAGUCUUCUCCAUAUCAGGAAAUCUCUUCCUCUAGCUAAGCUGCCCUACAGGAAGGGACUGCAGCUCAGUGGUUUGCAUGCAAUACAAUACAAUACAAUACAGUACAAUACAAUACAAUCCCUGGCAUCUCCAAAUAAAACUUGGAAAGACCCUUGCCUGAUAUCUUGGAGACCCAAUACCAGUCCAUGUCGACAAUACUGUGCUGGGUGGACCACCCAGACAAUUGCUACUAGCGUGGAGGACUAGGGGCUGGGAUGCAUCUUCCCUGGCCCCAGAACUCCUAUCAUACACUGUGCAAGAGCGUGGUGCAUGCAUUAUAGGGUUCCUCCGGGCACUGGCCAGGAGGCUACUUGUGUGUAGGUGCCUCUGCAGCUGCGCGGCACCAACACACACGCACUAAGCUGAGCUUAGUGGAGCCCUCACACCCCAAACCCAGGCUAAGCGGUGGACUCCCUAAGCUGGUUUGCUGCCGUGGCUCCCAGUGGUCCAGAUGUGCCGGCAAAACCAGGCUGGGCUUCCUUAGCCCAGUUUUGCCUGCGCAUGUGAAUAGCCCCUAUAUCUGUGACGACCCAUUUCAAAUAUACAUCCUUUACUAACUUCACUCUGUGACAUGUAGGAAAUAAUCUGCUAUUAACUAAUUUUUAGGAAAGAUAAAAGCAAGCUAACUGGGAUGUAGCCUCUGCUAGUGCUUAAAAGGUAAAGUGUGCCAUCGGUGUCGACUCCUGGUGACCACAGAGCUCUGUGCUUGCCUUUGGUAGAAUACCAGAGAGAUUCACCAUUACUAUCUCCCGCGCAGUAUGAAAGGAUGCCUUACAGCAUCUUCCUAUAUUGCUGCUGCCUGAUAUAGGUGUUUCCAAUACUCUGGGAAACAUACCAGCGGGGAUUCGAACCAGCAACCUCUGGCUUGCUAGUCAAGUCAUUUCCCAGCUGCGCCAUUAGGUGGCUCUGCUAGUGCUUACAUGAAGUAUAAUGGCAAUGCUUCCCAAAUCUGCAUAUAUGACAGUUGAACUGGCAUGAUCCAACACUGAUACCACCUGGACAAUUUACCUUUUGCAAGUCAUAUAAUGGCAAUGAGCAGAAUGCUGUUUUACUCUUUUAUCAGAAUCUGUCUAUUGAAAAUACAAAUAUGAUGCUUGCCAGAUGCAUUUUUAAAAGAAAAACAAACUUUUGAAAAGGCAGAUUUAAAGAUCAAUGCAUCUAGGCUGAUAUAUUCAGUCCCUGAUUCAAGGUCUCAGAACUUAAUCAGGAGCUUGAGUGGAACCUAAAUGCGAAAACAAGUGUCAUCAACAAAAUCAAGUCCACAGCACUGAGAACUGACAUUCAUUUCCUUGAGUCAAAAUAUAUUAGAUGUUAUCCGACUGCCGCUCUUUUGUGUGUUUGUCUUUAUUGAUUGCAUAUAUAAAGGUUAAUGUGUAACAGAAUGUAUUGCAUGCCCCAAAGUAAAAAAUUCAGACUUCAAGUGGAAAGAAACACAAAGCAUCCGUCUUUCAUCAAAGGAAGGCUGUGCAGAAAUGUCAGCUACAUGGAUACAAUUAAUGGUUCUGCUGCCAUCAUAUGUGCCUCGGCUCUGAGAGAGAGAGAGAGAGAGAGAGAGAGAGAGAGAGAGACCACUUUUAGGUUCUGCACUGAAGACAAACAAUAGAUUCUGCAGUGAAGGAACAAAUUAUGUUCCUUGAUUGCAAAAUAAAUGCAUUAAAGUGAAUUGCACAAUUUCAUCUAUUAAAAAUAAUUACUUUCACUGAAUUUGGAAGGGGCCUGCAAGCCAGUGGUUAUGGAGCUAAGACUCUUACUACUACUAUUGGCCCAAAGGCAGCCUAAAUGUCUUGUCUGGAAGCUACUAUGACGUAGAUUGAGUGUGAGUUUUGGACAUCUCUGUUCAGCUAUGAGGUUCAGUGGGUGGUUUGAGGCAACAUACAACAAAGGGCUAUUCAGGUUGUAAAGCAUUUGGAGUAAUGAAAAAUGUGUUGGAUUAUUUAUUUAUUUAUUUAUUAAGAGGCAUAAUUCAUUCAUUCAUUCAUUCAUUCAUUCAUUCAUUCGAUUUCUAUACCACCCUUCCAAAAAAUGGCUCAGGGUGGUUUACAUAGAGAAAUAACAAAUAAAUAAGAUGGAUCCCUGUCCCCAAAGGGCUCACAAUCUAAAAAGAAACAUAAGAUAGACACCAGCAACAGUCACUGGAGGUACUGUGCUGGGGGUGGAUAGGGCCAGUUACUCUCACCCUGCUAAAUAAAGAGAAUCACCACGUUGAAAUGUACCUUUUAAAAGGUUAAAUGGUAAAAAAAAUAAUGCAGACAAGAUAAACAGAGGCAAGGAAGCUCUAAGCAGCACUGUAUCUUCUCCCACUAUAAUGUCUUUCUAUGGUCAUGGGUUCCUUAGGUAUUCUAACUUUGUGGAAUGCCUUGGUAGUCCCUUUCUGCUAGGUUCUUGGAGCAGAAGUGACCAACCCUAGUUUGCAGCGACAGGCUUCUUUAUUCAGCAAGGUGCUUAACUAGAAGAGCUCUGCAGACACUCACAAGACCACGAAGGAAUCCUGGACCAGCAUUUUCCAACCAUUGUGCCGUGGUACACUACUGGCCACAUAACAUUGACCAGUGCACCAUGCUGAUCCUUUCCCUUGCUCUUGGAGGCAACUCACUCAUAAUGCUCUGCCAUAUAAUGCACGAGCACAAAAUUAGCCUGGAAUGCAAACUCCUGACUUGGUGCAUCUGGCUAGUGCAACUGGACUAGUGCAUCACGUUUGGUGCUGGAGAAGACUUUUGAGGAUACCAUGGACAGCCAGGAAAACAAACAAAUGGAUCACAGAACAAAUCAAUCCAGAAUUUUCACUCGAGGCACAAAUGACCAGGCUCAAAUUAUCAUACUUCAGACACAAUAUGCGAAAACCCAGCUCCCUUGAGAAGUCCAUAAUACUGGGGAAAGUUGAAGGAAAGAGAAGAAGAGGACGACCAGCAGCAAGGUGGAUAGACUCGAUUACAACAGCAAAUGAAUGCACCACUGAGAGACCUUAAAGACCAAGUUGAAGUCAGAUCAUCCUGGAGAGAAUCUAUGUAUGUGGUCGCUAAGAGUCAACACCGACUGGACAGCACUUAAUCAGUCUAUCUAUCCAUCACGUUUGUGCAAGUGCAUUAGUCUGGAUGACGGUCAGGGAUGUUUGUGGCCAAGGAACAAAACAUAAUGUGCAUCCCACUAAUGGCAAAGGAAAAGGCCUCCAUAGAAUUUGCAGUAUGUAUCCUGAAGCAACGACUACAAUGCUGUAUUUUGCAUUUACCAUAAGACAGAUGUUGGGACCAUAAGCAGUAACUCUGCCCAGCUCCUGUAAGAGAGUGUGGGAAGGAGACUUGUAGAAGAGACGCUAAACUGGAUUGUUCAAUAAAGGACUUUCUUAAUUUUA